rnacentral:rRNA from 1 species
CGGGAAACCGGAGCUAAUACGGAUAAUAUAUUGAACCGCAUGGUUCAAUAGUGAAAGACGGUUUUGCUGUCACUUAUAGAUGGAUCCGCGCCGCAUUAGCUAGUUGGUAAGGUAACGGCUUACCAAGGCAACGAUGCGUAGCCGACCUGAGAGGGUGAUCGGCCACACUGGAACUGAGACACGGUCCAGACUCCUACGGGAGGCAGCAGUC